UUGAGCGAUUUACUUCGGUAAAGAGCGGCGGACGGGUGAGUAACGCGUGGGUAACCUACCCUGUACACACGGAUAACAUACCGAAAGGUAUGCUAAUACGGGAUAAUAUAUUUGAGAGGCAUCUCUUGAAUAUCAAAGGUGAGCCAGUACAGGAUGGACCCGCGUCUGAUUAGCUAGUGGGUAAGGUAACGGCUUACCAAGGCGACGAUCAGUAGCCGACCUGAGAGGGUGAUCGGCCACAUUGGAACUGAGACACGGUCCAAACUCCUACGGGAGGCAGCAGUGGGGAAUAUUGCACAAUGGGCGAAAGCCUGAUGCAGCAACGCCGCGUGAGUGAUGAAGGCCUUCGGG
rnacentral:rRNA from 1 species